UGGGGAAUUUUGGACAAUGGGCGAAAGCCUGAUCCAGCCAUGCCGCGUGCAGGAUGAAGGCCUUCGGGUUGUAAACUGCUUUUGUACGGAACGAAAAGCCUCUUUCUAAUAAAGAGAGGUCAUGACGGUACCGUAAGAAUAAGCACCGGCUAACUACGUGCCAGCAGCCGCGGUAAUACGUAGGGUGCAAGCGUUAAUCGGAAUUACUGGGCGUAAAGCGUGCGCAGGCGGUUUUGUAAGACAGAGGUGAAAUCCCCGGGCUCAACCUGGGAACUGCCUUUGUGACUGCAAGGCUGGAGUGCGGCAGAGGGGGAUGGAAUUCCGCGUGUAGCAGUGAAAUGCGUAGAUAUGCGGAGGAACACCGAUGGCGAAGGCAAUCCCCUGGGCUGCACCUGACGCUCAUGCACGAAAGCGUGGGGAGCAAACAGGAUUAGGAUACCCUGGUAGUCCACGCCCUAAACGAUGUCAACUGGUUGUUGGGUCUUCACUGACUCAGUAACGAAGCUAACGCGUGAAGUUGACCGCCU
rnacentral:rRNA from 1 species